UAGGCUUACAAGAGAAAGAAGAUUUCAGAUUCGGAAAGGAAAAGUGGAAAGAAACCGUGAUUUCAUUCAAUGAAGGAUAUAUAUCGGUAGUGAAUCAAGGCGGUGAAAAAUUCUAAAAAGGGAAAUUAAAGCCAAAAGCGACCGUGAAGUUGAAACAUUUUCUGAUUGACAGAAAUAGAUCAAUUACAUCAUCAUCAUCACAUGUUACAAGUCCAAGGACAUUAAAGAUUGUCCCAAUGCAUGUGCAGGAGAUAGUAAGGACACAAUUUUUUGUCGGAGGUGUCUGGAAAGGAGUUAAGUGAUGACAGGUAGCACUAAAGAAAGCCCAUAAAAUCCUUUUGAAGUGGAAUUGUGACAUAGCAAUUCAUUUCUGGUUUAGUUGUAAAACUGCCACAAACUAGAAACAAUUCAUG